AUGCACGAAAGUGUGAUAGGGGGAUACUCAGUGCUUACGCUUAUGGUGUAGGCUUUUGUCGAUCGUAAAUAGAUCGGCGAAUAAGUGGUGGGUAAGACUGGUGCCAGCCGCCGCGGUAACCCCAGCGCCACAAGUGGUUAUCACGAUUAUUGGGCCUAAAGCGUUCGUAGCUGGUUUGGUAAAUCUCUUGUGAAAUUGUUCGGCUUAACCGGACAGCGUGCAGGAGAGACUGCCAAGCUCGAGACCGGGAGGCGUAUGAAGUAUUCCAUGGGGACUGGUAAAAUGGGAUAAUCCAUGGAAGACUACCGAUGGCGAAGGCAUCAUACGAGAACGGAUCUGACAGUGAGGAACGAAAGCCAGGGGAGCGAACCGGAUUAGAUACCCCCGUAGUCC
rnacentral:rRNA from 1 species